rnacentral:lncRNA from 1 species
CUAUUAACCACAUUCACAACAAUCUCUGUUUAUACUGCCUUCCUGGUUGUUCUACCAAUCAAUUUGUACAAACCUAAAAAAAAAAGGCACCUCACCUUAAAUCUUAAAAGAUGACUCAGUGACCAGAGGUCACUGUUUGGAGAUGAAAAGUUAUUUAACAUCUACAAGGCAGGCAUAUAUGAGUUUUUCUUUUUAGAUUGAUUUGAAGAAUCUGAAGAGAAAUUAAGGACGCGAGACCUGUAGGCUUAGUCAGUGUGUUGACACUGAACAAACAGACUUGUAGAGGAGGGGCAGAAUUGAGAUAGAAAUUGGCUCCUCACACAGAAUGGUUCUUCUUAAAAGGAAUCUUCUUUUAUAAACAAGGACGGAGUAGAGUGCUUGUGAUUCCAGUCCUAUCAAGACCAGUGAAGGUGAAGAGUCCAGGUUCACAGUGGGUUUGUUCCCGUGUUGGGUGAACUGGGGACA